GCCCUCAUAGUUCAACGGAUAGAACAAGGGACUCCUAAGCCCUAGAUUUAAGUUCGAUUCUUAAUGAGGGCA
rnacentral:tRNA from 1 species